AGCUAUUGCUAUCGGGAUCCGAUUCAGGCAUGCUAGUCGUACGAGUUCAGACUCGUGGCGUAUAGCUCAGUAACACGUGGUCAAACCACCCUCUGGACCGGGAUACCCUCGGGAAACUGAGGUUAAUCCUGGAUACCGCUUUCACGUUGGAAAAACGGAAAGCUGGAAACGGUCUGCCGCCGGGGGACGUGACUGCGGCCGAUUAGGUAGACGGUGGGGUAACGGCCCACCGUGCCAAUAAUCGGUACGGGUUGUGAGAGCAAGAGCCCGGAGACGGAAUCUGAGACAAGAUUCCGGGCCCUACGGGGCGCAGCAGCCGCGAAACCUUUACACUGCACGACAGUGCGAUAAGGGGAUCCCGAGUGCGAGGGCAUACAGUCCUCGCUUUUCGUGACCGUAAGGUGGUCACAGAAUAAGGGCUGGGCAAGACCGGUGCCAGCCGCCGCGGUAAUACCGGCAGCCCGAGUGAUAGCCAAUUCUAUUGGGCCUAAAGCGUCCGUAGCCGGCCGAACGGGUCCGUCGGGAAAUCCACCCGCUUAACGGGUGGGCGUCCGGCGGAAACCAGUCGGCUUGGGGCCGGGAGACCAGAGGGGUACGUCCGGGGUAGGAGUGAAAUCCCGUAAUCCUGGACGGGCCACCGGUUGCGAAAGCGCCUCUGGAGAACGGACCCGACGGUGAGGGACGAAAGCUAGGGUCUCGAACCGGAUUAGAUACCCGGGUAGUCCUAGCCGUAAACGAUGCUCGCUAGGUGUGACGCAGGCUACGAGCCUGCGUUGCGCCGUAGGGAAGCCGAGAAGCGAGCCGCCUGGGAAGUACGUCCGCAAGGAUGAAACUUAAAGGAAUUGGCGGGGGAGCACUACAACCGGAGGAGCCUGCGGUUC
rnacentral:rRNA from 1 species